AUUGAACGCUGGCGGCAUGCUUUACACAUGCAAGUCGAACGGUAACAGGUCUUCGGAUGCUGACGAGUGGCGAACGGGUGAGUAAUACAUCGGAACGUGCCUAGUAGUGGGGGAUAACUACUCGAAAGAGUAGCUAAUACCGCAUGAGAUCUACGGAUGAAAGCAGGGGACCUUCGGGCCUUGUGCUACUAGAGCGGCUGAUGGCAGAUUAGGUAGUUGGUGGUGUAAAGGCUUACCAAGCCUGCGAUCUGUAGCUGGUCUGAGAGGACGACCAGCCACACUGGGACUGAGACACGGCCCAGACUCCUACGGGAGGCAGCAGUGGGGAAUUUUGGACAAUGGGCGAAAGCCUGAUCCAGCAAUGCCGCGUGCAGGAUGAAGGCCCUCGGGUUGUAAACUGCUUUUGUACGGAACGAAAAGCCUGGGGCUAAUAUCCCCGGGUCAUGACGGUACCGUAAGAAUAAGCACCGGCUAACUACGUG
rnacentral:rRNA from 1 species